rnacentral:tRNA from 1 species
GGGGGUAUAGCUCAGUGGUUAGAGCACCCGCAUACGUAUCGGAAGGUCGGGGGUCGACACCCUCUGCCUCCA